AACGUAGGUGGCGAGCGUUAUCCGGAUUUACUGGGCGUAAAGCGUGUGCAGGCGGCUCACCAAGUGGUGUAUGAAAUAUCCAGCUCAACCUGGAGGGUUAUGCCAGACUGGUGGCUAGAGUGCGAGAGAGGGCGUGGAAUUCCGGGUGUAGUGGUGAAAUGCGUAGAGAUCCGGAGGAACCCAGAGGCGAAGGCGGCGCCCUGGGCUCGACACUGACGCUCAGACACGACAGCAUGGGGAGCGAACGGG
rnacentral:rRNA from 1 species